UAUCAAUGAAGCAAGCAUUAGUUUUGAUUUUAGGGAUCAGUAGCUUCAAUUUUGGUUUAUUAACAAGCGUCCAUUUGGCGCAUAAAUUGCAAGGAAGGUUCACAUCACUGCAUUGGUUACUUAAAAGGAGUAUGGAUACAUGUGAAAAAAAACAAAUAAAAGAAAUUUGUACUGGAUAAUUUGUCUUUGUGCCAAAAUCAUGAGUUGCUUAGGUGAAAUACAAAUCUGUUUUUAUUA